GGGUUGUGAGGUUAAGCGACUAAGCGUACACGGUGGAUGCCCUGGCAGUCAGAGGCGAUGAAGGACGUGCUAAUCUGCGAUAAGCGUCGGUAAGGUGAUAUGAACCGUUAUAACCGGCGAUUUCCGAAUGGGGAAACCCAGUGUGAUUCGUCACACUAUCAUUAACUGAAUCCAUAGGUUAAUGAGGCGAACCGGGGGAACUGAAACAUCUAAGUACCCCGAGGAAAAGAAAUCAACCGAGAUUCCCCCAGUAGCGGCGAGCGAACGGGGAGCAGCCCAGAGCCUGAAUCAGUGUGUGUGUUAGUGGAAGCGUCUGGAAAGGCGCGCGAUACAGGGUGACAGCCCCGUACACAAAAAUGCACAUGCUGUGAGCUCGAUGAGUAGGGCGGGACACGUGGUAUCCUGUCUGAAUAUGGGGGGACCAUCCUCCAAGGCUAAAUACUCCUGACUGACCGAUAGUGAACCAGUACCGUGAGGGAAAGGCGAAAAGAACCCCGGCGAGGGGAGUGAAAAAGAACCUGAAACCGUGUACGUACAAGCAGUGGGAGCACAGAGCAAUCUGUGUGACUGCGUACCUUUUGUAUAAUGGGUCAGCGACUUAUAUUCUGUAGCAAGGUUAACCGAAUAGGGGAGCCGAAGGGAAACCGAGUCUUAACUGGGCGUUAAGUUGCAGGGUAUAGACCCGAAACCCGGUGAUCUAGCCAUGGGCAGGUUGAAGGUUGGGUAACACUAACUGGAGGACCGAACCGACUAAUGUUGAAAAAUUAGCGGAUGACUUGUGGCUGGGGGUGAAAGGCCAAUCAAACCGGGAGAUAGCUGGUUCUCCCCGAAAGCUAUUUAGGUAGCGCCUCGUGAAUUCAUCUCCGGGGGUAGAGCACUGUUUCGGCAAGGGGGUCAUCCCGACUUACCAACCCGAUGCAAACUGCGAAUACCGGAGAAUGUUAUCACGGGAGACACACGGCGGGUGCUAACGUCCGUCGUGAAGAGGGAAACAACCCAGACCGCCAGCUAAGGUCCCAAAGUCAUGGUUAAGUGGGAAACGAUGUGGGAAGGCCCAGACAGCCAGGAUGUUGGCUUAGAAGCAGCCAUCAUUUAAAGAAAGCGUAAUAGCUCACUGGUCGAGUCGGCCUGCGCGGAAGAUGUAACGGGGCUAAACCAUGCACCGAAGCUGCGGCAGCGACGCUGAUGCGUUGUUGGGUAGGGGAGCGUUCUGUAAGCCUGCGAAGGUGUGCUGUGAGGCAUGCUGGAGGUAUCAGAAGUGCGAAUGCUGACAUAAGUAACGAUAAAGCGGGUGAAAAGCCCGCUCGCCGGAAGACCAAGGGUUCCUGUCCAACGUUAAUCGGGGCAGGGUGAGUCGACCCCUAAGGCGAGGCCGAAAGGCGUAGUCGAUGGGAAACAGGUUAAUAUUCCUGUACUUGGUGUUACUGCGAAGGGGGGACGGAGAAGGCUAUGUUGGCCGGGCGACGGUUGUCCCGGUUUAAGCGUGUAGGCUGGUUUUCCAGGCAAAUCCGGAAAAUCAAGGCUGAGGCGUGAUGACGAGGCACUACGGUGCUGAAGCAACAAAUGCCCUGCUUCCAGGAAAAGCCUCUAAGCAUCAGGUAACAUCAAAUCGUACCCCAAACCGACACAGGUGGUCAGGUAGAGAAUACCAAGGCGCUUGAGAGAACUCGGGUGAAGGAACUAGGCAAAAUGGUGCCGUAACUUCGGGAGAAGGCACGCUGAUAUGUAGGUGAAGUCCCUCGCGGAUGGAGCUGAAAUCAGUCGAAGAUACCAGCUGGCUGCAACUGUUUAUUAAAAACACAGCACUGUGCAAACACGAAAGUGGACGUAUACGGUGUGACGCCUGCCCGGUGCCGGAAGGUUAAUUGAUGGGGUUAGCGCAAGCGAAGCUCUUGAUCGAAGCCCCGGUAAACGGCGGCCGUAACUAUAACGGUCCUAAGGUAGCGAAAUUCCUUGUCGGGUAAGUUCCGACCUGCACGAAUGGCGUAAUGAUGGCCAGGCUGUCUCCACCCGAGACUCAGUGAAAUUGAACUCGCUGUGAAGAUGCAGUGUACCCGCGGCAAGACGGAAAGACCCCGUGAACCUUUACUAUAGCUUGACACUGAACAUUGAGCCUUGAUGUGUAGGAUAGGUGGGAGGCUUUGAAGUGUGGACGCCAGUCUGCAUGGAGCCGACCUUGAAAUACCACCCUUUAAUGUUUGAUGUUCUAACGUGGACCCGUAAUCCGGGUUGCGGACAGUGUCUGGUGGGUAGUUUGACUGGGGCGGUCUCCUCCUAAAGAGUAACGGAGGAGCACGAAGGUUGGCUAAUCCUGGUCGGACAUCAGGAGGUUAGUGCAAUGGCAUAAGCCAGCUUGACUGCGAGCGUGACGGCGCGAGCAGGUGCGAAAGCAGGUCAUAGUGAUCCGGUGGUUCUGAAUGGAAGGGCCAUCGCUCAACGGAUAAAAGGUACUCCGGGGAUAACAGGCUGAUACCGCCCAAGAGUUCAUAUCGACGGCGGUGUUUGGCACCUCGAUGUCGGCUCAUCACAUCCUGGGGCUGAAGUAGGUCCCAAGGGUAUGGCUGUUCGCCAUUUAAAGUGGUACGCGAGCUGGGUUUAGAACGUCGUGAGACAGUUCGGUCCCUAUCUGCCGUGGGCGCUGGAGAACUGAGGGGGGCUGCUCCUAGUACGAGAGGACCGGAGUGGACGCAUCACUGGUGUUCGGGUUGUCAUGCCAAUGGCACUGCCCGGUAGCUAAAUGCGGAAGAGAUAAGUGCUGAAAGCAUCUAAGCACGAAACUUGCCCCGAGAUGAGUUCUCCCUGACUCCUUGAGAGUCCUGAAGGAACGUUGAAGACGACGACGUUGAUAGGCCGGGUGUGUAAGCGCAGCGAUGCGUUGAGCUAACCGGUACUAAUGAACCGUGAGGCUUAACCUUACAACGCCGAAGCUGUU
rnacentral:rRNA from 1 species